rnacentral:rRNA from 1 species
UACGAAGGGGGCUAGCGUUGUUCGGAAUCACUGGGCGUAAAGCGCACGUAGGCGGAUCUUUAAGUCAGGGGUGAAAUCCCGAGGCUCAACCUCGGAACUGCCUUUGAUACUGGGGAUCUCGAGUCCGGGAGAGGUGAGUGGAACUGCGAGUGUAGAGGUGAAAUUCGUAGAUAUUAGGAAGAACACCGGUGGCGAAGGCGGCCCACUGGAUCGGUACUGACGCUGAGGUGCGAAAGCGUGGGAGCAAACAGG